rnacentral:rRNA from 1 species
CCCGCUCAGAAACUCAAUGAAUUGACGGGGGCCCGCACAAGCGGAGGAGCAUGUGGUUAAUUCGAUGAUACGCGAGGAACCUUACCUGGGCUCGAACGUAAGAUGACUGUAGGUGAAAGCUUACAUCUCUUCGGAGCAUUUUACGAGGUGCUGCAUGGUUGUCGUCAGCUCGUGCCGUGAGGUGUCGGGUUAAGUCCCAUAACGAGCGCAACCCCUACCUUUAGUUGCCAUCAGGUAAUGCUGGGGACUCUAAAGGAACUGCCUACGCAAGUAGUGAGGAAGCGGGGAUGACGUCAAAUCAGCACGGCCCUUACGUCCAGGGCUACACACGUGCUACAAUGGCCGAUACAGAGGGCAGCUACCUGGUGACAGGAUGCAAAUCUCCAAAGUCGGUCUCAGUUCGGAUCGGAGUCUGCAACCCGACUCCGUGAAGUUGGAUUCGCUAGUAAUCGCGCAUCAGCCAUGGCGCGGUGAAUACGUUCCCGGGCCUU